UGAGUUGUUUGUUAAUUGAGGUAUUCCACUAUAUCGAACACCAUUCCAUGGUCCAGCACGAAAGUUUAUUACAAAACCAUUCCUCAAAACUAGUUGUGGAAAUCCAUUUAGAUCAAUCUCACAAGUGAAAUUACCUUUAGAAGGGUCAUCGGCACUCUUCCAUGAUGACAGGUACCAAUCAAGGCCUGUUACUCUGUUUCUUCCAAGCUUCAUACCUGGUAGAAGAGUAUCGCCUGGAUAAUCAAAACUCUGCCAUAGGAAGUUUUCUGGGUCACUAUCAUUGCCAUUUCUCAUAACAAGAUUUCCAGAUUCCAAAAGCUGAGCGUUUGGAUCCAGUGCAGAAUGUGAUGAAUUAGAAUUCCAAAGAAUUCCAUUAGUAUCGUUGACCAGAACAAGAAUUCCCUGCUGAGUGACUUUUAAAACACCUGAUGAAUCAGUUAGUGGACUUUCUCUAUUGGCAACCCAUACCACUGUCCGAGGAGCCACUUUCUUGUACCAUAUCCCCAAGUAUCGAUUCUUGGAAUUACCUGGACUGAAGAAACCCAAUUCAAAGGUCCCACCUGCUGAAGUGAUGGUCUCACCGUCUCUAAUGUGUUGAUUUACAGUUAUGGUGUCUACUGCAAUAGAGAUUCUUAUGAGGGAGAAUACAUAGGAGAAGACAAAUACAACAGUUCUAAGAGCAUUCAUAGUUGUUCCUAGAUAAGGAAUGCCUGAGAUUUUAGGUGUUUUUCAUGUCUCCUUAUAUUUUUCUUCCCCCUGUAAGAUUUGUCACACAUUUCUUCAUACAUCAAAGUCAAUGUAACUUUCCAUUGGUCAACCAUAACUUGGGAAAUCUAUUCAUUCCAUUUUUUUUUAUUUGUAUUCUAUGGUGUGGUCCCUUGAGUUGAAUAUAUGAAUUAACAUCGCAUCCACAUCCAAAUUUAAUUUUCCAUACCUUUGAAAAUGGACAAGGGAUUAGUUUAUACUACUUAGUAUGGCCAAUCUUAUCUCUUCUUUAAUUAGAAGCAUUACAAGUUGAAGUAAGGACCAAUAACAUAUUUUAGGUGUUUUCCAAGUCUCCUUAUAUUUUCCUUUCCCUCCUAAGAAUUGGCAUUGGGUUUGAUUUGUUUGACUUAGAGAAGAACAUUACCUCCACAUAUGUGCCUAUCAGUAACAUCCAUCGUUGGACUCAUUAUCCAAUGGUCAUCAUCUUCUCCUGCCUCCAAAUUUGAUUUUUCUAUACCUCUUAAAAUGGACUAGGUAUUAGUUUAUCCCUUUGAAUCUAAUAUCCUAGAUUACAACAAUAUAUGACCAAUUUCACCUUUUCUUUAGAGCUAUGUUUUGUUCAUGGAAAGUAUGAAGAAAAGAAAAAAAAAAAAAAACUGUGGAGGGAAAUGGUUUUCUCAUGUUUGGUUUCAUUGUGGAAAAUAUGAAAGAAAAUCAAAAUUAAUUUAAAUUAGUUAGAAAUUCAUGCAUCUUAAAAUUAUUUAAUCUUUAUAUAAUGGAGGAAAGUAAGUAAAAUGAGUUUGAAAAAGCAUAUAAAAAUAAUUUAUUGACUUUGAUUUUUUAUUUUUUAUUUUUCCUUCACUCUUUUUUCUUGACAUUUUUUCUCCCUAUUUUCUUUUUCUCACAUUUUUUCUUAAAUUUUUCAAGAACCAAACAUAACCUAAAAGAAUUACUAGUUGAAGUAAAAAAGACCAAGAACAAAAUGAAUGUUGUAGCAACCCUCUUUCCUUACCAAAGUUUACAGGAUAGGUUAGUUACAACUCACAGCCACUGGUAGGAUUGAAAAUAAAAAUGCAUACAAGGAAUACUGAAGAGUAGCUUUCAUGACUUGUCAUGAUGUGCUAGGAAGACUUUUGGACUGACUAAUUAGCCCAAAAGAUGCCCACUGGCUACCAUUAUUUGGAGUAUCUUGAGAGAAUGUUUCCAUAUCCAUUGGCAAUCUUUGCACCACUUUCCGAUGCCAUUAUAUCCCUCAUCUCUGUAGCCAUAAUAUCUAAUCAAGCAUGGACCAAGUUAGCAACCUUGUAUGCCAAUCAGUCUAAAGUCCGAAUCAUGGAUCUUAAGGACAAGCUUACCUAUGCAAAUAAAGGAGACAAAACCAUUACUGAGUACAUGUAUAUAGUGCACAAUGGAUGGAUUGGCUCUUGUCAAUGUUCAUAUUAAUGAUGAUGAUGUUACUUCAUGUUCUUCAUGGUCUUAGGAAGGAGUCCAAAGAUGUUUGCACUAUAGUUUGAAAUUGUAAGUUCUCAUGACCUUUGAAGAGCUUCAUGAUGCAUUGAUUGAACAUGAAAGGUCCCUUAAAGAAAAAGAAGCUCUCUCAAAAGACUCACCUUUCACUACCAAUUACUCUCAAAGAUCAAGGGAGCCCACCAAUCUCUAAUCCAAGGGAUCAUACAAUAAAGGUAUCAAUCUAAAGGCACCAUGAACCCAACUUCUGAUUGUGAGCAUGGACAUCAAAGCUGUAAUCAGAACCACUCCAAGCCUCAAUCUAAUAUGGUGUGUCAAUUGUGACAAACCUGGCCACAAUGCCAAACACUACUACCAAAUUUGAGGGUAUUCACCUAAAGCACCAUAAGCAAAUUAUACCACUCAAAUUAGGUCAAAUCCUUACCAUUGGUUGACUGACUCUAAGGCAUUACACCAUAUCACUUUCAACCCCAACAACUUGGGAAAUCAUUCUAAGUUUAACGGGAAUGAUGAUUGUUGGGAAACCUAGAUUGCUCUAUUCCUGGACCCAAAUCAUGUAGGGUGCAUGCAUUUAUCCCUAAGGCUCUUUAUAUCUAACAAAACAUAAAAACAUGGUGUCAAAAGCUAAUAUGAUUAAAUCUAGAGAAUAUUGAAAGGUAGAGGCAGACAUUUCUGGAUGAUCAAAUCUCUGGCAUAACAUGGUCACUUAUUUUGAGAACUAAUUUUAUGAAUCUAAACAUGCCAAUGGUAAAAAAUGGUUCAUUCACUGUAGGCUUAGCCUUCAUUUUUGGAUGUUCAUACUUUGAUUAAACCAGGAAUCCUGCCUGUCCGGGAGUUUCAUACCAGAUCACUUUACAACCUGUCGCUUAUCUGAUGAUCCAGUGGAGUAGUCCUUCCAUACACUCACAUUUUGAAAGGCUUCAUGAUAACUGAGCUAUUAACAAGCUCAUAAGUAGAUACAUCUCCAUUUCUUCAAAAGAAAAAGGAAAAAAAAAGGAAGCAUAUGUAUAAACUGGGUUUGGUGUUAAUAGAGGAAACCCACUAAAUCGAACGCCAUUCCAUUGUUAAGUGUGUUGCAUGGACAAUCAAAACUCUGCCAUGGGAAGUUCACUAUUAUUUCAAAUUUUAUGACAAGAUUUUUAAAUUAAAAAAUCUGAGCAUUUGGACUCUGCAGAAUGGAUUAUGCUAUUAGCAACACCCGGGAAUGGAAAGAGUUCCUUUGAAUUCCUAUAAAUUGGCGGAGUGGGAAUUAUACCAGUCUCCAUAGACACUUUCCUGUAUCAUAUCCCUAAAGUCUGAAUUUGUGGAUCGAAUUAUCUGGGCUGAAAAACCCCAGUUUAAAGUUGCCACCUGCUCCAAUGAUUAUCUCACCAUCUAUAAAGAGCUGAUUUACUGUUGACUUAAUAGAAUAAGACAAUUUUGGUUGGUUGACCAUGAUCAAUCAUUCAUUUUCCCUGGAUAUAUAUUCUAGCAUUAGGUGGCAUACAUUCCCUUCAAAUAAAUAACAAAAUCAAUCCCAAUUUACAGCUAGAAUCUACUUAAAUAUCACAUGUCAGCCCUACAAAAUAAUUAAGCACAUUAGUUAUUGUUUGUAGUCAUGUUUUUCCUUUUUGUUUAUUUAUUUUUAUUUUUACUUGAUUAUGGCAUGUUAAGAUGGGUAAUCUCAUUAAAUUAUUCCAGAGAGAAACCAAAACCCUUGUUAGAAGAAAAGAAAAAAAGACCAAAAACAGAGUCAAGGUUUCCUUAAAAGGUGCUAGUAAUAAGUAUCUUUAAAAAGAAUAGCUUUUAUUAUAUGGUCAUCUUUUAUUAUUGAACUUAUAUACUAUGAAUAACUAUCACCAUCCUUAUAAAAAGCAGCAAAAAAUAUUGAUCACCUAAUAACAUCUUAGAUGAAUCAAGGUUGAGAGGAGUUACUAAAAGUAAUUGAGACAUGAAAUUUAAGCUUAUAUGGUCAUAGGUCUAGAGAUAACAAAACAUUAACGUGAAACAUCUUAUUCUAUCGAGCUUCCAACAACGUGAUGGGGGAUUGAGUACCAGAUGGAGAACUUGCUUCCAUCAUACUCCUAUCAGUGAAGAAACAAGGCUCUUUGGGUUGAGGUAGUGCACCCUCACUACUCAACAUCAAAACCACAGAAUGCAUGCUUGGUCGAUCAUUUGGAAAACGUUGCACACAUAAUAGGCCCAAAUUGAUUAUGGGUAUAACUUCAGAUAGAUUGCAGGUGUUCCCCAAUGAUGCAUCAAUAAAUUCUGAAGACCUAUCUUCUUUAUAGAGUGUCCAUGCCUAGACAAUUGAAAAAAGAAUCAACACUUCUUUUAAUAUUGAAAUAGAGAAAUAUUACUUGAUACUUACAUGCCCAAGAAGAUUAAUGUUGCGAUCUGGGUGGUUAAAUCCUAUGUUUCUCUUCCCACUUACAAUCUCUAACACCAAAACACCAAAGCUAAAAACAUCGGAUUUUGUGGAAUACAAUCCUUCACUUGCAUACUCUGGAGACAUAUAACCUCUGUAGGAAGCCAUUGAAGAAGAGGUUGAAUUCACAAGCAACAAAGAUAAGAUUAUAUACACAUCACAAGAUAUACUUACAAUGUUCCAGCCACUCUUGUUGUAUUUGCUUCCGUUUCAUUUCCUCCAAAACUUCUUGCUAUUCCGAAGUCUGAAAUUUUGGGGCUCAUUUCAUUAUCUAGUAAAAUGUUUUCUGCUUUGAGAUCUCUAUGGAUUAUCCUGAGUCUAGAAUCUUGAUGAAGAUAGAGAAGGCCUCGAGCUAUCCCAUUGAUGAUGUGAAAGCGCUUGGGCCAAUCUAGUACCACGCUUCGCAUUUGAUCUGCCCAUUUUUUAUCAUUCAAGUUAACUUGUUCUACUACUUGGAUUGUUAUAAAUGGAAAAUAUUUCAAGAAACAAAUGAUUUCAAAUUCCAUGAGAGUUGUUUAGAGCAAUGACAUGUAAAAACAAAAGUGAGUAUGAUUAAAAAUCAUUCUCAAUGAUUAAAGAACAUUGUCAAGGACACACAAAUGGAUAAUGAUCUUAAUGGUAAGGAUCAAAACCCCUAGUUUUUAUACAAGAGCCACAAGAUUAGAGAAAAUAGAAGUAAGAAAGAUUUUCUAGAUAAAUGCAUCUACUCUUUAUCUUGUUCCCAACAAUUUUUCUUUGAGAUUGGUAAAAUUUGUUAUAAAUAAAGAAUUUUCCUAGCAUUUGCAUAGAAGAAAAAAAAAAAAAAAAGCCAUUCUAGUAGACAAAGAAACUAAAUAGUGGUUUUAGAGAGUCAAACCAAAAAUAAACAAGUCCAAGCUUUUGUUGGGCAAGUAUUCAUAGAUCAACAUCCUUUCUCUGCCAUGAAUGCAACAUCCAAGAAGCUUUACAAGAUUUCGAUGUUGAAGUUUUGCAAUGGAUUCAGCUUCAUUUUUUAACUCUUCUAAUCCUUGUCUAGAAGUUUUUAACAUCAUCUUCACUGCUAUUUCUUGUCCCUCUUGCAAUAUUCCCUAAAAACAACACAUUGUUUUUAUUUUGAAAGCUUUGCAAAUUAAAUGAAACUUAUCAAUAUUCAAAAUGAGUAGCCCUAAACAAACUAGUGACACAAAAAUGUUGGCACAUAUAUUGGCUUCAAGACAUUAAGGCAUAUAUCUUAAUGUGGCUUCAUUUAGAUACUAUGACAAUUGGGGACAAUGACAACUUCUCAAUAUGCUUAGAUGUGUGUUUUUAACUUGUAAGUUGUUGCAGGGCAUACCCUUACCUUGUAGACAGGCCCAAAACCACCCUCUCCAAGCUUAUUGUCACUAGAAAAGUUAUUGGUGGCAUUCAAUAAUGUAUCCAAGUCAAAUAAUGGUAUCUCUAGGUGCUCCUGACCUUCAUUGGUUUCAUCUCCCUCAAUAUUGUGUUCCAUGUAUCCUACAAAAUGGAGAAUGGAAUGAAGGAUUAAAGAAUGCAUAAAUCCUAUAUACAGAAAUCAUGAACUUGACCCAUCUCCAUGCCUAGAUCAUUUCAUCAUUUAUCAAAUCAAGCCAUGUAAAUCCCUUGCUCCUUUUUUGAGUAAUACAUAAUCAGACAACGUGUGGAAGUACUUCUGACUAAUGCACUUAGUGAUACAAGCACUAUGAUUUGUUACUUGCCUCUUCUCUUUAGCCGCCUCUUCCUCUUCUUUAGCACACACAGGGUUAAGACCAGACUUAAAAGAACUACUCCUGUGAUUGAUAUAGAGAUGGCAAUGGCUUGCUUUUUCUUCUUCUUGGAGCUGCUAUUUAGGCUUGACAAAGCAUCUUAACACAAAUGGAAAGAAAUUAAGUAGAAAAGCCAGUAAAUAAAAUAGAAAAACUAUAAAUUCCUAUAAGUAGUAACCACUAUUCCAAAAUAUAUUUUUAGUUUGCAACCAUGAAAGUAGAGUUCAAGGAACUGUAGUUGCCAUAGGAUUUGAGGGCACAAAUCAGUUGGUGUAUUGGUGUGUUAUAGCAUCUAGCUUACUAUAAUUGAAAUCUAAAAGAAAAAUAUUCCAACUUUUGAGUAGACCUCUGCUUUGCACUCUAGUCUUCAGAAAAUAAGUAUACUAUUCCAUGGAAGAAUGUGCUUGGCAGUUGGUCUUAGAUUUUUCACACCAGCAAUAAUUGAGACAGAGGUAAAGCGUUAAGUCACAAAAUCAAGGAUAAAACUAGAGGCACGUGUGCACGGUGAACAACUGAUUCAAAACCUUUGAAUAAAUAUACCAUGAAAUUUGUAUCAGAUUUAUGUUUCUUAGGCAACAAAAAGAAAAGUUUAUACCUGAUUCUGAUGCAGCCAUCCUUGCAUAAAACUCUUGCCCAUUUUGAGUGAAGUCUCUGAUGUCAAUCAAGUCAUCAAACCAGAGCAAGCAUCCACUUCCUCCUCCUCUGAUAUCUGAAUUUGCAUAAGCAGUGCAAGAGCAGUUCCUCAAGCACAGGGAAGCACAUUCCUUAAGGUUCAUGCUUUCAUCAAACCAGGAGUUCCGCGUGUCUGGCAGUUUCACACCAGAGUACUUUACAAAUCCAUCACCCUUUUGACAAUCCAGUGGAGUACUUCGAACGCAUCCCUUUGACCAGUCUGCCAUGUCCCAAUUGCUUUGGAACUUUGGCCUAAAUCCCUUCAUACACUCACAUUUUGGAGAUUCAUCAAUCUUACAGAUUCCAUAUACUCCACAUAUUGCAUAAUUGUCACAGUCAUCCUUCUGUGUGGUUGAGUAAAGAGUCCAUUCAUUUUUUUGAUCAGUCCAUGUGAAUCUUCGUGAAUAACCAUCAGGAGUUAACACAAGCCUCAUAAUAACUGAGCUGUUAACAAGAGAAUAAAUAAAAUAUAUCUCCUUUUCAUUAGAAACAAAAUUAAAUGUAUAAACUGAGUUGUUUGUUAAUUGAGGUAUUCCACUAUAUCGAACACCAUUCCAUGGUCCAGCACGAAACUCUACAGCUAAACCAUUCCUCAAUAAUAGUUGUGGAAAUCCACUUAGAUCAAUCCCAUAAGUAAAAUUACCUUUAGAAGGGUCAUCAUCACUCUUCCACGAUGACAGGUAUCGAUCCAGGCCUGUUACUCUGUUCCUUCCAAACUUCAUGCCUGGUAGAAGCGUAUCGCAUGGAUAAUCAAAACUCUGCCAGAAGAAGUUUUCUGAGUCACUAUCAUUGCCACUUCUCAUAACAAGAUUUCCAGAUUCCAAAAGCUGAGCAUUUGGAUCCUCUGCAAAACGUGAUGAAUUAGAAUUCCAAAGAAUUCCAUUAGUACCGUUGACCAGAACAAGAAUUCCCUGCUCAGUGACCUUUAAAACUCCCGAUGAAUCAGUUAGUGGACUUUCUCUAUUGGCAACCCAUACCACUGUCCCAGUAGCCACUUUCUUGUACCAUAUCCCCAAGUAUCGAUUCUUGGAAUUUCCUGGACUGAAGAAACCCAGUUCAAAGCUCCCACCCGCUGAAGUGAUGGUCUCACCAUCUGUAAUGUUUUGAUUUACAAUUAUGGUGUCUACUGCCACGGAGAUUCUUAAGAGGGAUAAUACAUAGGAGAAGAUAACUGCAACUGUUGUAAGAGAAUCCAUAGUUGUUCCUAGAUAGAAAAUGCCUGAGAUUUUAGGUGCUUUCCAAGUCUCCUUAUAUUUUUCUUUCCCCAUGUUAGAUUUUGCAUAGGUUGCUUCAUAUAUCAAAGUCAAUGUAACUCUCCAUCGUUAGCCAUAACUCCGGAAAUCUAUUCAUGUCAUUGUUUUUAUUGGCAUUCAAUGGUGGGGUCCGUUGAGUUAAAUAUAUGAAUGAUUUGUAUGACUUAGAGAAGAACAUCUCACCCACAUCCCCAUCCACAUUUAAUUUUCCAUACCUCUUAAAGUGGACUAGGAAUUAGUUUAUACAACAAGUUGAAGUAAGGACCAAUAACAGAAUGACUGUUGUAGCAACCCUCUUUCCUAGUCAAAGUUUACAGGUCAUUUACAACUCACAUACAGAGAACAUUCAUGUGGUCCAGUUUCUAAUUAAACUUCAAAUACUGAGUAGCUUUCACGACUUGUUAAAUAUUUGGAUUCUCUAGUUUCCUUUUUUUUUUUUUCCCAACUUUGGAACGAUGCCCACGUGACUUGUUGCCAGCUCUUGACUCAAAUUUAUAUGGGUGUAUAGACUUGUUUACACCUUAGAUAUUGAAAUGAAGCUUUGAGCGAAGUCAUCACAGUUGGCUGGACCUGCAUGGAAGUUGGUUAUGCUCCUCCGGGUAUAAAAAUUUAGAAGAGGACUACUUUGUUCUCUCACAAGUCCCAAGGCUCCUUGAGCUUCAAUGACUUGUUGUAGUGAUUUGAUGAGAGCAUCUCUAUCUCUGGGAUGGCUGACACCGAUCCUCUCAAUCAACAAAUAGCUCAUACAUUGUGACGAGGAAAGAAUGAUCUCAAUCAAUUAACAACUUACACAUUGAUCAUAAUUAGAGAAUCAUAACUCCUUUUCGCUAAAGGACUUAGGAGCUUUGCAUUAUUUUCUUGGAAUUAAAGUGUUUUGGGAUUCCAUAGGACUUUAUCUAACUUGGUCCAAAUAUAUACUUGACUUGUUAAAAUGAACUAACAUAGAACCAGCCAAAAGUUGCCCUACACUAGCAAUUAUGGGCUUACAGCUAUCCAUUUCUAGUGCACCUAACUUGAACAAUGAGAAGUUGCAUCACAACACUGUAGGGGCAUUACAAUAUCUCAUGAUUACUUGACUAAAAUAUCAUACAUUAUAAACAAAUCAAGUCAGUUUUUACAUUUUCCAACUGAUAUGCGUCAGAAAGUUUGUAAAUGAGUCUUGAGAUACUUGCAUGGGAGUAUUGAUCAUGGCCUACACAUUCAAUCAGCUUCUGCAUUUAGUCUCACUAGCUUCUUAGAUGCUGAUUGGGUCAGAUGUGUUGACGAUCCAAGGUCUGUUAAUGGCUUCUAUGUUUUUCUUGGUCCUAACAUUGUCUCAUGGAGUUCACGUAAGCAAAAGUUAGUUGCAAGGUCCAACACUGAGUCUUGAUUCAAAGCAUUGGCUCACACAGCAGCAGAGGUGACCUGGUUGCAAGCCUUAAAAGAUCUACAAGUCCUUAAUUCUUCAUGUCCUGUAAUCUGGUGUGAAAACAUUAGGGUAGCUUGCAUUACUGCAAAACUGGUUACACAUGCUCGCACCAAACAAAUGGAAGUAGAUGUCCAUUUUGUACGUGACAAAGUGCCGCAGAAGGAGUUAGACAUUCGGUAUGUACCUACAAAAGAUCGGGUAGCUGAUAUACUAACAAAGCCCUUAUCUAUAUCCCAGUUCAACAUCCUUAAGGUCGAGCUCAAUGUGAAGGUGUCCCCAUUUCACUUGAGGUGGCAUGUUUGACAGAAUGUUGCAGUUACAAAAUUAGUUUCAGAGUUAAUUGAGUUUAGCUUUAACAGUUCCACAGUUGAGGUUAGAUUUAGAAUUAGAUAAAAGAAAGAAUCAGUUAGUCUCCAACCAACUUGUAAUCUUCUCUAUAGAAAGGAAAAGAGAGAAAGAAAAAAAAGAGGUCAGUUGUAUUUCUCGCAUGCCGUGAUUUUAUCUCCUAUGUUCUCCUCUGUUUUUCAGUCUCAACAUCUUAUCUCCUAUGCAAGGUCCAACACUCGGCCAAGAUUCAAGAGGCAUGUUCAUGCACACAUUAUGCCAUAUAUUAAACUGUAAUUGAAAGCUAAAACAACAAACAUGUUGAAAUUUUAUGUGGACCGGUGCUAAACUUCAGGUUAUUGGUGCUUUAUAUAAAAGAAACUGUUUUCCUCCUUGAAGUUUUGUGUCAAAUUUACUUUUCUUCUGUUAGGAACAGAUAAGUUCAUACCUAAUUCUGAUGCAGCCAUUCUUAAAUAAAGCACUUGUCCAUUUUCAGCUAUAUCUACCAAAUCGAAUCACUAAACCAGGCAAAGCAUCCACUUCCUCAUUUAUAUGUGAAUUAGCAACGCCCUUGAGGUUCAUACUUUGAUUAAACCAUGAGCUCUACCUGUCUGGGAGUUUCAUACCUGAUAACUUUACAACUUGUCACUCAUCUAAUGAAUUAGCCGAGUGGGAAUUACACCAGUCUCCAUAGACACUUUCCUGUAUCAUAUCCCUAAGCCUGAAUUUGUGGAGUUAUCUGGGCUGAAAAGCCCUAGUUCAAAGCCACAAACAACUCCAAUGAUUACCUCACAUCUACUGUUGACGUACAUAGGAUAAGAAAAUUGUGGUUGGUUGGCCAUGACCAAUCAAUCUUUUUCCGUGGAUAUAUAUUAUUCUAGCAUUAAGUGGCAUAUAUUCCCUUCAAAUAAAUAACAAAAUCAAUCCCAAUUUGCAGCUAGAAUCUACUUAAUUAACCUCUUGUUCUUGAUGCUAAAGUGUUAAAAGGUCAUAUUUUUCUUUUUAAUUUUUUUACUUGAUUCUGACAUGUUAAAAUAGUAAUCUUAUUAACUUAUUUAAGAGAGAAACCCCUUUUUUAGCAGAUAUCAAAUAUCAACAAAAGACCAAAAACAGAGUCAAGGUUUCUCUACAAGAUGCAAGUAAUUAGUAUUUUUUAUAAGAAUAGCUUUUUUUAUAUGGUCAACUUCUAUCAUUGAACUUACAUACCAUGAAUAACUAUCAUAAUCGAUACAAAAAGAUAGCAGCAAAGACUGAUCACCAGAUAACAUCUUAGAUGAGUCUUUUGUUAGAAGCUAAGCAGUAUGAUUGCGAAAAAGUUGCCAAAUGUAGUUGAAACUUAAGCUUAUAUUGUCAUAGGUCUAACGACAACAAAACAUCAACAUGAAGCAUCUUCUAUCGAGCUUCCAACAAUGUGAUGGUGGGUUGAAUACCAGAGAAAGAAUUUGCAUCCAUCAUAUUCCUAUCAGUGAAGAAACAAGGCUCUUUGGGCCGAGGUAGUGCCCCCUCACUACCCAACAUCAAAAUCACAGAGUGCAUGCUUGGUCGAUCAUCCGGGAAACGUUGUAUGCAUAAUAGGCCCACGUUGAUUGAACGUAGCACUUCAAAUAGAUUGCAGGUGUUCACUUUUGAUGUAUCAAUAAAUUCUAAAGACCCACCUUCUAUAUAGAGUGUCCAUGCCUAGAGAAUUGAAAAGAGGAUCAGCACUGCCUUUAUAUAGUGAAAUAAGGAAAUAAGAAAAUAUUACCCAAUACUUACAUGCCCAAGAAGAUUAAGGUCAUGGCCUGGGUGGCUAAAUCCUCUGUUUCUCUUCCCACUUACAAUCUUUAGCAACAAAACACCAAAGCUAAAAACAUCGGAUUUUGUGGAAUACAAUCCUUCACUUGCAUACUCUGGAGACAUAUAACCUCUGUAGGAAACCGUUGAAGAAAGGGUUAAAUUCACAAGCAAUGGAGAUAAAGACUUUAUACAUAUCACUAAAUAUACUUACAAUGUUCCAGCCACUCUUGUUGUGUUUGCUUCAAUUUCAUUUCCUCCAAAACUUCUUGCUAUUCCGAAGUCUGAAAUUUUGGGGCUCAUUUCAUUAUCUAGUAAAAUGUUUUCUGCUUUGAGAUCUCUAUGGAUUAUCCUGAGUCUAGAAUCUUGAUGAAGAUAAAGAAGGCCUCGAGCAAUCCCAUUGAUAAUGAGGAAGCGCUUAGGCCAAUCUAGUACCCUGCUUCGCAUGUGAUCUAUCCAUUUUUUUUAUCAUUCAAGUUAACCCAUUCUACUACUUGGAUUAUUGAAAAUAAAUGGAAAACAUUUCAAGAAACAAAUGAUUACAAAUUUCAAGAGAGUUGUUCAAAGCAAACAUUGUCAAAGAUUGAAAAACAUUGUCAAAGAGACACAAAUAGAUAAUGGAUCUUAAUGGUAGGGUUCCAAACCCCUAACAUUUUUAAAAAAUGUUAGAGAAAAUAGAAAUAUGAAAAAUUUUCUAAAUAAAUGCAUCUAUGCUUUAUCUUGUCCUUGAGGAUUUUUCUUUGAAAUUUGUCAAAUCCAUGGUAAAUAAAGAAUUUCCCUAGCAUGUAUAGGAGAAGAGAGAGAAAAGAGAAGCUACUCAAUUAGACAAAGAAACUAUAUAGUGGUUUUAGAGAGCCGAACCAAAAAUGUACAAGUCCAAGCUUUUGUUGGGCAUGUAUUCAUAAAUCAACAAUCUUUCUCUGCCAUGAAUGCAACAUCCAAGAAGCUUUACAAGAUUUCGGUGCUGAAGUUUUGUAAUGGAUUCAACUUCAUUUUUGAACUCUUUUAAUCCUUGUCUAGAAGUUUUUGACAUCAUCUUUACUGCUAUUUCUUGUCCUUCUUGCAAUAUUCCCUGAAAACAUCAUAUUCUUUUUAUUCUGAAAGCUUUUCAAAUUAAAAGAAACUUGUCCAUAUUCAAUAUGAAGAGUCCUAAAGAAACCAGAGACACAAAAAUGUUGGCACAUACACCGACUUCAAAACUUUAAGGAGUAUAGUGGCCUUGAUACAUGUUGUUUCAUUUAGAUACUAUGAAGAUUGGGGACAUCAACUACUUCUCAAGAUGCUUAGCUAUGUAUCUAUAAUGUUUUAUUAACUUGUAACUUGUCUUAUCCAAAAGGCAAAGUAUAACCCUACCUUAUAGACAGGUUCAAAACCACCCUCUCCAAGUUUAUUGUCUCUAGAAAAGUUAUUGGUGGCAUUCAAUAAUGUAUCCAAGUCAAAUAAUGGUAAAUCUAGAUGCUCUUGGCCUUUAUUGUUUUCACCUUCUUUUGAUUUAUGAUCCAUGUAUUCUGCAGAAUGGAGAAUAAAAUGAAGGAUUAAAGAAUUCAUCAACCUGGAAUUUAGCCCAUUUCCAAGCCUAGAUCAUUUCAUUGUUUCUAAAAUCAAGCCAGGUCAAUCUAUUGCUCCCCUUUUUUAUUUAUUAUUACAUAAUCAAACAACGUGUAGAAGUACUUUUGACUAAUACAUAUGGUGAUACAAGCACUAUGAUUUGUUACUUACCUUUUUUCUUUAGCUGCUUCUUCCUCUUCUUGAGCACAUACAAGAUCAGGACUGGACUUAAAAAAACUAUUCCUGUAAUUGAUAUAGAGAUGACAAUGACCUGCUUUUUCUUCUUCUUGGAGCUACUAUUUAUGCUUGAAGAAGCUUCUUGACACAAAAGGAAAGAAAUUAAGAAGGAGAGCUAAGAAAUAAAUUAGAAAAACUAUAAAUUCCUAUGAACAGUAACUGUUGAUCUAAAAUAUAUUUGUAGUUUACAGCCAUGAAGGUAGAAGUUCAAGGAACUGCAAUUGCCAUAGGAUUUGAUAGCACAAAUCAGUUGGUGUAUUGGUGUGUUAUAGCAUCUAUCUUAAUACAAUUGAAAUCUAAAAGAAAAAUAUUCCAACUUUUGAGUAGACCUCUACUUUGCACUCUAGUCUUUAGAAAAUACGUAUACUAUUCCAUGAAAUAAUGUGCUUGGCAUUUGGUAUCAGAUUUUUCACAUCAGCAAUAAUUGAGAUGGAGGUAAAUUAAGAUUUAAGUUGCAAAAUCAUGGGAUUGAACUAGAGGCACAUAUGCAAGGUGAACAACUGAUUCAAAACUUUUGAGUAAAUAUACCAUGAAAUUUGUAUGAGAUUUAAGUUUCCCAAGUAUGAAAAAGAAAUGUUUAUACCUGAUUCUGAUGCAGCCAUCCUUGCAUAAAACUCUUGCCCAUUUUGAGUGAAGUCUCUGAUGUCAAUCAAGUCAUCAAACCAGAGCAAGCAUCCACUUCCUCCUCCUCUGAUAUCUGAAUUUGCAUAAGCAGUGCAAGAGCAGUUCCUCAAGCACAAGGAAGCACAUUCCUUAAGGUUCAUGCUUUCAUCAAACCAGGAGUUCCGCGUGUCUGGCAGUUUCACACCAGAGUACUUUACAAAUCCAUCACCCUUUUGACAAUCCAGCGGAGUACUUCGAACGCAUCCCUUUGACCAGUCUGCCAUGUCCCAAUUGCUUUGGAACUUUGGCCUAAAUCCCUUCAUACACUCACAUUUUGGAGAUUCAUCAAUCUUACAGAUUCCAUAUACUCCACAUAUUGCAUAAUUGUCACAGUCAUCCUUCUGUGUGGUUGAGUAAAGAGUCCAUUCAUUUUUUUGAUCAGUCCAUGUGAAUCUUCGUGAAUAACCAUCAGGAGUUAACACAAGCCUCAAAAUAACAGAGCUGCUAACUAGAGAAUAAAUAAAAUAUAUCUCCUUUUCAUUAGAAACAAAAUUAAAUGUAUAAACUGAGUUGUUUGUUAAUUGAGGUAUUCCACUAUAUCGAACACCAUUCCAUGGUCCUGCACGAAACUCUACAGCUAAACCAUUCCUCAAUAAUUGUUGUGGAAAUCCACUUAGAUCAAUCCCAUAAGUAAAAUUACCUUUAGAAGGGUCAUCAGCACUCGUCCAUGAUGACAGGUACCGAUCCAUGCCCAUUACUCUGUUCCUUCCAAACUUCAUGCCUGGUAGAAGAGUAUCGCAUGGAUAAUCAAAACUCUGCCAUAGGAAGUUUUCUGGGUCACUAUCAUAGCCAUUUCUCAUAACAAGAUUUCCAGAUUCCAAAAGCUGAGCGUUUGGAUCCUGCGCAGAACGUGAUGAAUUAGAAUUCCAAAGAAUUCCAUUAGUACCGCUGACCACAACAAGAAUUCCCUGCUGAGUGACCUUUAAAACACCUGAUGAAUCAGUUAGUGGACUUUCUCUAUUGGCAACCCAUACCACCGUCUGAGGAGCCACUUUCUUGUACCAUAUCCCCAAGUAUCGAUUCUUGGAAUCACCUGGACUGAAGAAACCCAAUUGAAAGGUCCCACCCGCUGAAUUGAUGGUCUCGCCAUCUCUAAUGUGUUGAUUUACAUUUAUGGUGUCUACUGUAGUGGAGAUUCUUAAGAGGGAGAAUACAUAGUAUUAAAAUUGAUUAAUGUGAAAACUUGCCUUGUUGAACAAAGAAAUAUGCAGAGUUUGUUAGGUUGUUACAAGUUAGUGGAAUUUUUUUAUUUUGUUAUUUUUCAUUUUCUGGAUGAGCUGGAAUCUUCUCGAUUGUUCCAAGCCUUCCUAUAUAUGUUGCUACUGUACAAUCAGUGAAGAGGGGAAUCAAUGAAUUAGUUUUAUUUCUCUCUCAGGCCUUUGUUUGCCUUUCUUGCCAUUUACCUUUUGUUUUUCUAUUAUGGUAUCAGAGCGUAUUCCUUCCGUUUUUCCUUCCUUCUGAGCAUGGCUAAGGGCAAACCUCCUCAGCAUCCUUUUCAGUCUCCCAUGGAAGAUCAUAGUAGUCCCUAUUUUCUUCACAAUGGUGAUCAUCCAAGUCUCUCUCUGGUUUCUCUUUCACUUGCUGGAUUUGGUUCAAACUAUCAUUCUUGGCGCCGAUCAAUGGUUAUAGCUUUAAAUGCUAAGAACAAACUUGGGUUUAUCGAUGGAACCAUCUCACGUCCUGCUGCAACAGAUCUCCUUGCUGGUCCUUGGUCUCGCUGCAACAACAUGGUCAUAUCUUGGCUCUCUAACUCGGUUUGCAAAGAAAUUGCAGAGAGCAUCCUCUAUCAUGAAACAACCAUCGAAAUAUGGAAUGAUCUAUACGAACGAUUUCAUUAGGGCAGUGGUCCUCAAAUUUUUGAACUCAAGCAAAAAAUUAUUGCUCACACUCAGGGAUCGGCUGAUGUCAAUACCUACUAUACUCGACUGAAAUCCUUGUGGGAUGAGCUUCAAGAAUUCAAGGCGAUACUAGUUUGCAAUUGCGGUGGCAUGCGUGUUUAUAUGGAGGAUCAACAACGAGAAUCUGUGAUGCAAUUUCUGCUGGGUUUGAACGAAUCCUUCGCUCCGAUUUGAGCUCAAAUCCUGUUGAUGGAACCGACUCCUCCGCUGAACAAAGUUUUCUCCCUGGUUGUUCAAGAAGAACGACAACGAUCUCUUACCACCUCCAACUCUCCGGCAUUCACUGCUCCUGUUUCCUCCAGAUUUCAAGCGGCAUCUAGAGCUUUUUCUCCUACUAAUGCCUCUCGAUCAAGAAAGGAUCGCCCACUCUGUACCCAUUGCAACAUCUUGGGUCACACAGUUGAUCGGUGCUACAAAAUACAUGGGUAUCCACCUGGAUUCAGAAAUAGGCCCAACUUCAAGCCCAAUGGUUCUCGCCCAAAUCAAAUGCUACCCAAUAGUCUUCACACGAAUCAGUUGACUCUCACAGAUGGCUCCACCGCCUCUGCAUCUCCACCACCUCUCACUCAUGACCAACACAAUCAGUUAUUAGCUCUCUUAAGUUUGCACAGCUCGAGUGGCUCCUCUGCCUCAUUCGGUGACAGCAACCCUCUUCAGCAAUCCAUUUCCAACUUCACUGGUAUCCUUUCUCUUUCUCCUUCAUCAUCCACUCUCAACCCUAGCAUUUGGAUUUUAGAUUCAAGGGCAACCCACCAUGUUUGCACUAAUUCCUCCAUGUUUCACUCUAUUCAUUCAUUUUCUUCCAACACUGUCACUUUACCCACUGGUAUAAAAAUAUCAAUCACCGGAAUAGGCACCAUUCAUCUGUCACCUCAUCUCGUGCUUGAACAUGUUCUCUACAUUCCAACAUUAAAAUUUAAUCUUAUCUCCAUUAGUGCCUUAACUCAAACCAAUUGUUUUUCCUUUGAUUUUACUGCUCGUUUUUGCUUCAUUCAAGACCACUCACAGGGGAAGCUGAUUGGGAUGGGUAGACGUCAAGGCAACAUUUACCUCUUAGAUAGCUCAGUCUUUCGUUCUAUUUCCUCUGUAUUCGUUGUUGAUAACAACACUUCUGCUCAUGUAAACAAAUUGUGGCAUUUCAGAUUAGGCCACCCAUCCAAUGUCAAACUCAGUGUAUUGAAACCUCAUUUACAGUUGCAAAGUAAUGGCAAUACCAAUCUUUCUUGUUCAAUUUGCCCUCUGGCAAAACAAAAACGUUUGCCAUUUGAUUGUCAUAAUAAUUUAUCUCCUUCUCCAUUUGAUCUCAUACACUGUGAUAUUUGGGGUCCAUUUCAUAUUCCCACACAUGAUGAAUUUCGUUAUUUUUUGACAAUCGUUGAUGAUUGUACAAAGAAUACAUGGGUUCAUCUUCUACGUGCUAAAUCUGAUGUCAAGACCAUUUUUCCAUAAUUUUUCUCCAUGGUUAAAACCCAGUUUGGUCUCACCAUUAAAGCAGUUCGCAGUGACAAUGCCCCUGAAUUAAACCUCUCCAAUCUCUUUACCCAACUUGGUGUGCUCCAUUUUUUCUCUUGUGUUGAAACUCCUCAACAAAACUCGGUUGUUGAGCGUAAACACCAACACAUCCUAAACGUAGCUCGGGCCUUAUAUUUCCAAUCCAACAUACCUAUAGGAUAUUGGGGGGAUUGUGUGCUUACUUCGGUUUACCUUAUAAAUCGAAUUCCAUCACCAUUACUGAACAACAAAACUCCUUUUGAACUACAUCAUAAAUCACCAUCUUACUCCCAUCUCAAAUCUUUCAGAUGUCUUUGUUAUAGUUCAACUCUUCCUCGAGCCUUACCUUGUGUCUUUUUAGGAUAUCCUUUUGGUUACAAAGGUUACAAAAUUCUAGACUUAGAGACCAACCAAAUAUCUGUCUCCCGAAAUGUUAUCUUCCAAGAAUCUGUGUUUCCUUUCAAGUUAUCUCAGAAUAAUAACUCUGUUGCUUCAGAUUUCUUUUCUGAAAAGGUGCUGCCUAUUGUACCAGUUUCUACCCCUUCCCCUUCUUUUAAUAAUUCGACUUCACAUCCUAACAGCCCUGACUCUUCCUCCAAUGACACUUCACCUCAUACCACCUCCCACACAACCACCAGAUCUUCUAGAGUAUCCCAACCACCCAAAUAUCUCUCUGAUUAUCACUGUUAUUUAGCUUCUUCUACUCGUCAUUUCGAUAUAUCCAACUCCACUCCUUACCCCUUAUUCGAUGUCAUCUCCUACAAUAAACUUUCCCCUUCUUUUCGUGCAUUUUCUAUUUCCAUUUCCACCAUCAUAGAACCCAAAACAACAUAUGCUGAGGCAGUCGUUGUACCCGAGUGGCAGCAUGCUAUGUGAGCUGAACUGCAAGCUUUAGAGUCCAAUAAUACCUGGUCUUUGUGCACUCUACCCCCUGGAAAAACAACAGUUGGUUGCAAAUGGCUUUAUCGUGUUAAAUAUCAUGCUAAUGGUUUUAUUGAAAGGUACAAAGCACGACUUGUUGCCAAAGGGUUCACACAGCAAGAAGGUGUUGAUUUUUUUUAUACUUUUUCACCUAUUGCCAAGAUGGUUACUGUCAAGGUAUUACUCUCUCUUGCUUCUAUUUACAAUUGGCAUUUGACUCACCUUGAUGUCAAUAAUGCAUUUUUGCACGGUGAUCUAUCUGAAGAAGUUUUCAUGCAUCUUCCUCCUGGUUAUCACCGUGAGGGGGAGCCUUUAUUACCUUCCAACACAAUUUGUAAGUUACACAAAUCCAUCUAUGGCUUGAGACAAGCAUUUAGGCAGUGGUUUGAAAAAUUCUCUAGUGUUCUAAUCUCUAAAGGCUUUCAGCAAUCUCAUUCAGAUUAUUCUCUAUUUAUCAAGACAGCAGGAAAUGAUUUUAUUGCUUUGUUAGUGUAUGUUGAUGACAUAAUAGUUGCUAGUAACAACAAGAUUGCUGCUGAUAAUUUGAAGAAUUCUCUCAACAAAAGCUUUAAAUGAAAGGAUCUAGGAAAUCUCAAGUAUUUUCUUGGACUUGAAGUAGCUAAAUCAGCUAAAGGGAUCCUGGUAAACCAGAGAAAAUAUGCUCUGGAACUCCUAUCUGAAACAGGCUACUUAGGUUGCAAACGUGCCAAAACUCCAACGCAACCAAAUAUGCAACUUUCUCAAGAUGAUGGAGAGCUGCUAACAGAUCCCAGCAUGUAAAGAAGGCUCAUAGGGAAGCUUAUAUACCUUACUAUCACCAGGCCAGACCUAACUUACUCGGUGAACAAGUUGAGCCAAUUCCUAAGUCAACCGAGGAGACCACAUUUGCAAGUAGUCUACAGGAUUCUUCAAUAUAUCAAAGGAUCACCAGGCAAAGGUAUUUUCUUCUCAACUUCCUCAUCUCUUCAAUUAAAGGCCUUCUCAGAUUCUGAUUAGGUAGCAUGCCCAGAUUCUAGAAAAUCAAUCACUGGAUUUUGUAUAUUUCUUGGAGAUUCUUUGAUAUCAUGGAAAUCAAAAAAGCAAAGGACAGUUUCAAGAUCCUCAGCUGAAGCAGAGUAUCGAGCAAUGGCUCAUGUGACUUGUGAGCUAACAUGGUUGAUUGCCUUACUCAAGGACUUAGGAGUUUCACACACACAACCUGCUUUGUUGUACUGUGACAACCAAGCUGCUCUACACAUUGUUGCAAACCCGGUCUUCCAUGAGCGUACUAAACACAUAGAGAUAGAUUGUCAUAUUGUAAGAGAGAAGAUUCAAACAGGUAUGCUCAAAACUCUACAUGUUGCUUCACAACAUCAAUUGGCUGAUAUACUUACCAAUCCUCUCUUUCCUGAUCAAUUCAAUUCUCUCAUAGACAAGAUGGGAAUGUAUAACAUAUACAUUCCAUCUUGAGGGGGAGUAUUAAAAUUGAUUACUGUGAAAACUUGCCUUCCUUGUUGAACAAGAAAUAUGCAAAGUUUGUUAGGUUGUUACAAGUUAGUGGAAUUUUUUUAUUUUGUUAUUUUUCAUUUUCUGGAUGAGCUAGACUCUUCUCGAUUGUUCCAAGCCUUCCUAUAUAUGUUGCUACUGUACAAUCAGUGAAGAAGGGAAUCAAUGAAUUAGUUUUAUUUCUCUCUCAGGCCUUUGUUUGCCUUUCUUGCCAUUUACCUUUUGUUUUUCUAUUACAUAGGAGAAGAUGAACACAACUGUUGCAAGAGCAUCCAUAGUUGUUCCCAGAUAAAAAAAUGCCCAAGAUUUUAGGUGCUUUUCAAGUCCCCUUAUAUUUUCCCUCGCCCCCUAGGAUAUGGCAUUGUGUUUGACUUGUAUGACUUGGAGAAGAACAUCACCUCCAUUGUUCAUCAUUGGAGGUCCUUCAUCCAAAUUAGAUUUUUCUAUACCUCUUAAAAUUGAGUAGCUAUUAAUUUAUCCCUUACAAUAGUUUAUGAAUGAUCUCAUCUUUUCUUUAGAAGAAUUACAAGUUGAAGUAAAGAAGACCAAGAACAGAGUGUUGGAAUUUUGACAAGUAUACAAUAGUUUAAAAAAGAAUGAUUCAUAAACUAACAUAGUGGAAAAAAUAUUUUUAAAUCUACCGUUUUUGCUAAGUGGGAAAAAGAAAUUAAAUUUAAAGUAAAAAUAGUCUCUUAUGGGCAAAAAUGUCUUUUGAAGAGAUGAAUUUUAAAAAUUCUUUAAAAAACAAAAUUUAUAGGCUAAGAUCGUCUCUCGAAUAAAAGAUUUCUUUUUAUUAUUUUUUUAGAAAAGUUCUAGACAAAAAUCCUUUAUGCAAAAAAUGUGUUUUGAGGAGAUGAGUUUUAAAAAUUCUUUAAAAAACAAAAUUUGUAGGCUAAAUUGGUCUCUUGAAUAAAAGAUUUCUUUUUAUUAUUAUUUUUUUAAAAAGUCUAAAAUUGUCUAUUGAAGACACGAUUUCAUAAAUAAUAAAAAAAUAAUAAAAAAACAAAAGAAAAAGAAAGAAAUAAAAGGAGUUCUUAUUUUUAAUAAUAUUUUAAUUAAUAAUAUAUUUUAAUAAUAAAAUUAAUAUAAAUAUAUGCAUUGUAAUAUUAAUUAAUUUAAGUUUAUUAUAUUUGAUAUAUUAUUUAUAAUUAUAAUAUUUAUAAAAGUAUAAAUUAUAUUUAGCAUCUACUAUUAAAAAAAUACUAUUUUAUGUUGAGUUAAAUAUCGAUAACAAAAAUAUUUUGAUCUUUAUCACCAAUUUUAUUUCUAAAUUAAUUUAAUGAAUUGUAACUAUAAAUAGAAAUUAGUUUUAUUUUAUUUUAUUUUUUAUUUAUAAUAUAAAUAAUACAUAUUUUAAAUUUUGAAACUUUAUCUACUACUUUCUUGUUCCUUUUAAAUUUCAUAUUAAAACAAAUCUAUUAUCAAUUUUAUUUUAUUUGAGUUUAUAAAAAAUAAUUUUAUUACCUAUUUAUUUUUUUAGUUUAUUAAAUAUAUAUAUAUAUAUAUAUAUAUAUAUAUAUUUACAAAAUGAAUAAUUUUUUAUUUUUAAAUUAAUUUUAUUAGAUAAAAUUUAAAAAUAAAAAUAUUAUUCCUUAAUUUAAAAUUUAACGGUAAAAAAAUAGAGAAAAAUAAAUUAUUUUUAAAUUGAUUAAUACUCAAAAAAUUAUUUGUUUCAUUUUAAAUUGAUUAAUAUUCAAAAAAUUAUAUCUCUUAAAGUUGACAUUUUUAUUCAAAAUUAAUUUGUUGAAUAAUAAAUUGGUUUAUUUUUCUAUAUUUUAUUUCUUUUACUAUUAAAUUUUAAAUUUAAAAAAAAUUAUUUUAAAGCUUAUCUAAUAAAAUUAAUUUCAAAAUUAAAACGAAAAAAAAAAAUCAUUCAUUUUGUAAAAAAUAAAAAAUAAAAAUUACUAAACUAAAAAAGGAAAUUUAUAAUAAAUUUAUUAUUUUAUAAACUCAAUUUUCACCUCAAAUUAAUAAUAGUUUUUUUUUUCUUAAUUUGAAAGUGAAACAAACAAAAAGUAAUAGAUAAUAUCUAAAAAUUAAAAUAUUUAUUAUUUAUCUUAUAAAUAAAAAAUAAUAUAAAACUAAAUUAGUUUCUAGUUAGAGUUAUAAUUAAUAAAAUUAAUUUAAUGAUAAAAAUUGGAGAUAAAUAUAAAAAUAUUUUUUAAAUCAAUAUCUAAAUUAAUAUAAAAUAGCGUUUUUUAAACAUAAAAUGCUAAACAUAAUUUAUACUUAUAUAUAUAUAUAUAUAUUAGUAUUGAUAAAUAAUAUAUCCCAAUAAUUACAAUUAUUUUUAUAUAUUAAAUUUAAUAGAUAAAAUUAAUUAAUUCUAUAAUACAUAUAUUUAUAAUAAUUAUAUUAUUAUACAAAUGUUAUGUGUUUUAUUAUUUUUAAUGAUAUUUUUAAUUAAUAAUACAAUGCUACAUCAUUUAAAAAUAUGAGGUGAUGACCAAAAUAAUUUUUUAAUUAAUAUAAAAUUAUAAAUAUAACUUAUACUUUUAUAAAUAUUAUAAUUAUAAUAAUAUAUCAAUAAUAAUAAACAUAAAAUCAAUUAAUUUUAUAAUACAUAUAUUUAUAAUAAUUUUAUUAUUUAAAAAUAUUAUUAGUUAAAAUAUUAUUAAAAAUAAUAAAACAUGGAAAAAAAUUUAAUUUUUUGAAAUCAUUUGGAGAAGAUUUCUUCCCUUAAUUUUUUUUUUUUUUAAGAAAUCGUCUCCUGAUUUUCUAUUUUUUUAUUUCCUAUAUCCAAUAAUUUUUUUAAAAAAUAAAAAAUAAAUAAAAAUCAUCUUUUGAAGAGACUAUUUUAGUUUGAAUUUUUUGUAAAAUUUUUAAAAAAAUUUGAAAAUACUAUUUUUACUUAGAACUUAAAAAUAAUAAUAAUAAUAAGAAAUCGUGUCUAGAGACAAUUUUAGCUUAUAUAUAUUUUGAAAGAAUUUUUAGAAAUUAUCCCUUCAAGAAUUGAUUUUUGCAUAUUACAUAUAUAUAUAAAGAAAAUAAAUAUCUUUUGAAGAAAUGAUUUUUACUUCAAUUCCAAUCUCUCUUUCCUAAUUGAUAAAAACUACCAGUAUUUUUUUCAGAGUAGCUUUCAUGAGUUGUUAGGAUGUGCUAGGAAGACUUUUGAACUGACUAACUGGCCCAAAAGACACGCCUGCUGGCUAUUGUUAUUUGGAUUCUCUAAUUUUUUUUUUCCAACUUUGGAACUAUCCUCACGCGACUUGUUACCAGCUUUGGACACAAAGUCAUAUGGGCGUAUAGACUCGUGGCCACCUUAGAUAUUGAAAUCAAGCUUUGAGCAAAGUCAUCACAGUCGGUCAGAACUGCAAGGAAGUUGGUUAUGCUCCGGUAUAAAAUCAAAAAGUGGUAUAAAAAUCGAAAAGGCCAACAGAGGCCGUUUGAUUCACUCCAUCACCCUCCUCUUAGUUUGAGUGUCACGAUUCAAGUCCCCAUAAUUGGGAUCAUUUACCAUCCAAUCAAGUCAAGAGUGAAUUCACGGAGGACUACUUUGUUCUCACACGAGUACCAAGACUCCUAUAUAACCUUCAAUGACAUCUUAUAGUGAUUUGACAAGGGCAUCUCUAUCUCUGAGCGAAGUAGCUAACACCCAUCCUUAAAUCUCUUAAGAGGCAAUGGACUAUAAGGAAAGAAUUACCUUUUAUAAAAAUCCUCUCAAUCGUCCAAUAGCUCAUACAUUGAUAUAUAGAAACAGCCAUCUCAACCGAUCAACGGCUCACACACUGAUCAUAAUUAGAACAUCACAUAAUCACCUCCUUUGAUUACGACUAUAAAUUAUUCCACAAAUGUAGCAGAAGGGCUCUUGUAGCAACUCUCUUUCCUUGCCAAAGUUAAUAGGACAUGUCAUCAGUUACAACUUACAGCCACUGGUAGGAUUGAAAAUAAAAAUGCAUACAGCCGAUAUUCAGGUGGUCCAGUUUCUGAUUAGCACCAAAUACUGAGUAACUUUCACAACUUGUCAGGAUGUGCUAGGAAGACUUUUGGACUGACCAACCGGCCCAAAUGACACGCCUGCGGGCUACUGUGAUUUGGAUUCUCAUUACUUUUUCCUUUUUUUUUUCUUUCUUUUUUUUUUUUUUUUUCUUUUUUUCUCAAACUUCUGAAUUCUCUCCACGUGACUCAAAUUUAUAUGGGUGUAUAGACGUGUUUACACCUUAGAUAAUGAAAUCAAGCUUUGAGAAAAGUCACCAAAGUCAGCCGGACCUGCAUGGAAGUUGGUUAUGCUCUCCGGGUAUAAAAAUCAAAAAGGGGAUCUCCUUGAGCUUCAAUGACUUCUUGUAAUCCCUUACGGGCUAUGGAUAUAAGGAAAGAAUCAUGUCAUAAAGGGAAGAAUACUCUCAGUCAACAAAUAGCUCAUACAUUGCGAUGAGGGAAGAAUGAUCUCAAUCAAUUAACUACUCACACACUGAUCAUAAUUAGAGCAUUACAGAGCCUUUUCAGUAAACGACUUGGGAGCUUUGCAUUAUUUUCUUGGAAUUGAAGUGUUUCUCACUCAGUCCAAAUACGUACUUGACUUGUUAAAACCAAGUAAUACGGAACAAGCCAAAAGUUGCCCUACACUAGCAAUUAUGUGCCUACAGCUAUUUAGUUCUAGUGGACCUAAGUUGAACAAUGAGAAGUCGUAUCAGAACACUGUAAGGGCAUUACAAUAUCUCACAAAUACUCAAGUAGAAAUAUCUUACAUUGUAAUUAAAUUAAGUUUUUACAUUGUCCCACCGAUAUGUAUCGGAGAGGUUGUAAAUGAGUUUUGACAUACUUACAUGGGAGUAUUGAUCGUGGUCUGCACAAUCAAUCAGCUUCUGGAUUUAGUCUCACUAGCUUCUCAGAUGCUAAUUGGGCCAGUUGUGUCGAUGAACGAAGGUCCACCAAUGGCUUCUAUGUUUUUCUUGGUCCUAACAUUGUCUCAUGGAGUUCACGUAAGAAAAAGGUUGUUGCAAGGUCCAACACUGAGUUGGGAUACAAAGCAUUGGCUCAUGCGGCAAUAGAGCUAGGUGACCUGGCUAAAAGAGCUACCAAUCUAGUGUGAUAAGAUUGGGGUAGCUUGCAUUGCUGCAAACCUAGUUGGACAUGCUCGCACCAAACACAUUGGAGCAGAUGUCCAUUCUGUAUGUGACAAAGUGCUGCAGAAAGAGUGUAUGCACCUACAAAAGAUCAGGUAGCAGGUAUACUAACAAAGCCCUUGUCUGUAUCCCGGUUCAUCGUCCUUAAGGUUGAGUUCAAUGUGAAGGCGUCCCCGUUUCGCUUGAGAUGGCGUUCUGGACAGAAUGCUCCAGAACAAAUUAGUUUCAGAGUUAGUUAAGGCUAGCUUUAAAAAUUUCAUACUUAGUUGAGGUUAGUUUUAGAAUUAGAUGAAAAACAGAAUUAGUUAGGGUCUCCGACCAAUUUGUAAUCUUCUCUAUAUAAAGGAAAAGAGAGAAAGAAGAAACAGAGGUCAGUUGUGUUUCUCUCAUGCUGUGAUUAUAUCUCUAUGUUCUGCUCUGUUUUGCACUCUCAACAUCUUAUCUCCUGUGAUGAACAUCCUAACAGGCCCAGAUUCAAGAGCCAUGUUCAUGCAUGCAUUAUAUAAUAUAUUAAAUUGUAAUUGAAAGCUAAAACAACAUGUUGAAGUUUUAUGUGGAACAGUGCUAAACUUCAGAUAAUAGGUGCUUUUAUAUAAAAGAAACUGUUUUCCUCCUUGAAGUUUUGUGUCAAAUUUACUUUUCUUAUGUAAGGAACGAACAGAUAAGUUCAUACCUAAUUCUGAUGCAGCCAUUCUUAAAUAAAGCUCUUGUCCAAUUUCAGCUAUAUCUAUCAAAUCAAAUCACUAAACCAGGCAAAGCAUCCACUUCCUUGUUUAUAUCUGAAUUUGCAUAAGCAGUAUAAGAGCAGACGCUUGAGCCCCACCCAAUGCCCUUGAGGUGAAUCUCGUACCAGAUUACUUUACAACCUGUCACUCAUCUGAUAAUCUAGUGGAGUGGUCCUUUAAUUCCAUGCGCUCAAAAUUUAGAAGGCCUCAUGAUAACUGAGUUAUUAGAAAGUUCAUAUGUAGACGCAUCUUCUUUUCAUUAAAAACAGAAGCAUAUGCACAAACUGGGUUUGGUGUUAAUUGAGGAAACCCAAUAAAUUGAACAUCAUUCCAAUGUCAGAGCAAAAUGUCAUAGCUGAGCGAUUCCUUAGAAUUAGUUGUGGAAAGCCAUUAGGAUCGAGCCAAUAUAUGAAAUCACCUUUAAUAGGAACCACCGUGCUCUUCCAUGAGGAUAGGAACCAAUCCGGACCUGUCACUGUGUUUCUUCCAAAUUUCAUGCCUUGUAGAAGAGUAUUGCAGGGAUAAUCAAAACUCUGCCAAAGAAGUUCUCUGGAUCACUAUCAUCUCCAAUUUUCAUGACAAGAUUUUCAAAUUCCAAAAGCUCAAUAUGUGGACCUUCUUCAUGAAUGGAUUGCACUUGUGAAUGGAUAGAGUUCCCUGGUCCAUGACCUUUAAAAUUCCCGUUGAAUUAGCUGAUUGGGAACUAUACCACUCUCCAUAGACACUUCCCUGUAUUAAAUCCCUAAAGUCUGAAUUUGUGGAAAUACCUGGGCUGAAAAACCCCAGUUUAAGGCUGCCAACAGCUCCAGUGAUUACCUCACUAUCAAUAAGGAGUUGAUUUACUGUUGACUUACAUAGAACAAGACAAUUUUGGAUGGUUGGGCAUGAUCAAUCAAUCAGUUUUCCUGGAUGUAUAUUCUAGCACUAAGUGGCAUAUAUUCCCUUCAAUUAAAUAACAAAAUCAAUCCCAAUUUACAGCUAGAAUCUAUGUAAAUCUCACAUGUCAGCACCACAGAAUAAUCAGGCACAUUAGUUAUUGCUUUUGGUUUCACUGAUUUCUGUGAACUGUUUAUAUUAAUAACCUCUUGUUCUUGAUGCUGAAAUGUUAGAAGGUCAUAUUUUUCUUUUUUCUUUUUUCUUUUUUUGCAUUACUUGAUUCUCACAUAUUAAAAUAGAAAUCUCAUUAAAUCAUUCAAGAGAGAAACCAAAACCCUUUUUAGAAGAAAUGAAAGAUCAGCAAAAGAUCAAAAACAGAGUCAAGGUUUCCCCUACAAUCUGCAAGUAAUUAGUAUUUUUGAAAAGAAUAGCUUCCAUUAUUUGGUCAACUUCUAUUAUUGAACUUAUAUACUAUGAGUAACUAUCAUUAUCCAUACAAAAAGUAGCAGCAAAGACUAAUCACCUGACAGCAUCUUAUAUGAGUCUUUUGUUGGAAGCUAAGCAGUGUGGUUGAGAAAAGUUGCCUAAAGUAGUUGAAGUCAUAGGUCUAAAGACAACAAAACAUCAACAUGAAGCAUCUUCUAUCAAGCUUCCAACAGUGUGAUGGUGGAUUGAGUACCAGAGGAACAAUUUCCUUCCAUCAUAUUCAUAUCGGUGAAGAAAUAAGGCUCUUUGGGCUGAGGUAGUGCACCCUCACUACCCAACAUCAGAACCACAGAAUGCAUGCUUGGUCGAUCCUCUGGGAAACGUUGCACACAUAAUAGACCCAAAUUGAUUGAGCAUAGCACUUCAGAUAGAUUGCAGGUGUUCCCCAUUGAUGCAUCAAUAAAUUCUGAAGACCUAUCUUCCAUAAAGAAUGUCCAUGCCUAGACAGUUUAAAAGAGGAUCAACACUACUUUUAUAUAUUGAAAUAAGGAAAUAUUACCUAAUACUUACAUGCCCAAGAAGACUAAGGUCAUGAUACGGGUGGUUAAAUCCUUUGUUUCUCUUCCCACUUACAAUCUCUAAAACCAAAACACCAAAGCUAAAAACAUCGGAUUUUGUGGAAUACAAUCCUUCCCUUGCAUACUCUGGAGACAUAUAACCUCUACAGGUAACAAUAAAAGAAGGGGUUAAAUUCACAAGCAAUGGAGAUAAAGACUUUAUACAUAUCACUAAAUAUACUUACAAUGUUCUAGCCACUCUUGUUGUGUUUGUUUCAAUUUCAUUUCCUCCAAAACUUCCUGUUAUUCCGAAGUCUGAAAUUUUGGGUAUCAUUUCAUUAUCUAGUAAAAUGUUUUCUGCUUUGAGAUCUCUAUGGAUUAUCCGAAGUCUGGAAUCCCGGUGAAGAUAAAGAAGGCCUUGAGCAAUCCCAUUGAUAAUGAGGAAGCGCUUAGGCCAAUCUAGCACCCUUCUUCGCAUUUGAUCUGUCCAUUUUUUUUUAUCAUUCAAGUUAACCAAUUCUAUUAAAUGGAUUAUUUGAAUAUAAAUGAAAAAUAUUUCAAGAAACAAAUCAUUUCAAAUUCCAUGAGAGUUGUUUAGAGCAAUGACAUAUGAAAACAAAAGUAACUAUAAUUGAAGCUCAUUCUUAGUGAUUAAAGAACAUUGUCAAGGAGACACAAAUAGAUAGUGGAUCUUAAUGGUAGGGUUCAAAACCCCUAACUUUUUAUAUAAGAGCCAAAAUGUUAGAGAAAAUAGGAGUAAGAAAGAUUUUCUAGAUAAAUGCAUCUAUGCUUUAUCUUGUCCCCAACAAUUUUUCUUUGGGAUUUGUUAAAUCCAAUGUAAAUAAAGAUUUUUCCAAGCAUGCAUAGGAGAGGAAAAAGAAAAGAGAAGUCAAUCGACUAGGCAAACAAACUAUAUAGCGGUUUUAGAGAGUCAAACCAAAAAUAAAAAGGUCCAAGCUUUUGUUAGGCAUGUGUUCAUAGAUCAACAAUCUUUCUCUGCCAUGAAUGCAACAUCCAAGAAGCUUUACAAGAUUUCGGUGUUGAAGUUUUGCAAUGGAUUCAACUUCAUUUUUGAACUCUUUUAAUCCUUGUCUAGAAGUUUUUGACAUCAUCUUCACUGCUAUUUCUUGUCCCUCUUGCAAUAUUCCCUGAAAACAUCACAUUCUUUUUAUUAUGCAAGCUUUGUAGAUUAAAAUAAACUUAUCGAUAUUCAAUACAAGGAGUCCUAAAGAAACUAGAGAUACAAAAAUGUUGGCACAUACACUGGCUUCAAGACUUUAAAGCAUAUAGUGGCCUUGGUACAUGUUGCUUCAUUUAGAUACUAUGAGGAUUGGGACGUCAACUACUUCUCAAGAUGUUUAAUUGUGUAUCUAUAAUGUUUUAUUAACUUGUAACUUGUCUUCUUGCCCAAAGGGCAAAGUAUGACCAUACCUUAUAGACAGGUCCAAAACCACCCUCUCCAAGCUUAUUGUCACUAGAAAAGUUAUUAGUGGCAUUUAAUAAUGUAUCCAAGUCAAAUAAUGGUAACUCUAGAUGCUCUUGGCCUUCAUUGUUUUCACCUCCUUUUGAAUUGUGUUCCAUGUAUGCUGCAAAAUGGAGAAUAGAAUGAAGGAUUAAAGAAUUCACAAAUAUGGAAUUUAGCCUAUUUCCAAGCCUAAAUCAUUUCAUUAUUUCUAAAAUCAAGUCAAGUCAAUUCAUUCCUCUUUUUUUUUUAUUAUUAUUAUUAUUACGUAAUCAGACAAUGUGUAAAAGUACUUUUGACUAAUACAUAUGGUGGUAAAAGCACUAAGAUUUGUUACUUACCUUUUCUCUUUGGUUGUUUCUUCCUUUUCUUGAGCACAUACAAGGUCAGGACUAGACUUAAAAGAACUAUUCCUGUAAUUGAUAUAGAGAUGAUAAUGACCUGUUUUUUCUUCUUCUUGGAGCUGCUAUUUAUGCUUGAAGAAGCUUCUUGACACAAAAGGAAAGAAAUUAAGAAGGAAAGCCAGGAAAUGUAACAGAAAAACCAUAAAUUCCUAUGAGCGGUAACCAUUGAUCCAAAAUAUAUUUCUAGUUUACAACCAUGAAAGCAGGAGUUCAAGGAACUACGAUUGCCAUAGGAUUUGAGGGCAUAAAUCAGUUGGUGUAUUGGUGUGUUAUAGCAUUCUUACUAGAAUUGAAAUCUAAAAGAAAAAUAUUCCCAAGUUUUGAGUAGACCUCUGCUUUACACUCUAGUCUUUAGAUAAUACGUAUACUAUUCCAUGAAAUAAUGUGCAUGGUAGUUGGCCUCAGAUUUUUCACAUCAGCAAUAAUUGAGACAGAGGUAAAGCUGGAAGUCACAAAAUCAAACGAUAAAACUAGAGGCACGUAUGCAAGGUGAACAACUGAUUCAAAACCUUUGAAUAAAUAUACCAUGAAAUUUGUAUCAGAUUUAUGUUUCUCAGGUAAGAAAAAGAAAAGUUCAUACCUAAGUCUGCCGCAGCCAUCCUUACAUAAAACUCUUGCCCAUUUUCAGUGAAGUCUCUGAUGUCAAUCAAGUCACCAAACCAGAGCAAGCAUCCACUUCCUCCUCCUCUGAUAUCUGAAUUUGCAUAAGCAGUGCAAGAGCAGUUGCUCAAGCACAGGGAAGCACAUUCCUUAAGGUUCAUGCUUUCAUUAAACCAGGAGCUCCGUGUGUCUGGCAGUUUCACACCAGAGUACUUUACAAAUCCAUCACCCUUCUGGCAAUCCAGUGGAGUACUUCGAACGCAUCCAUUUGACCAGUCUUCCAUGUCCCAAUUGCUUUGGAACUUUGGCCUAAAUCCUUUCAUACACUCACAGUUCGGAGAUUGGUCAAUCUUACAGAUUCCAUUUACUCCACAUAUUGCAUAAUUGUCACACUGAUCCCUCUGUGCAGUUGAGUAAAGAGUCCAUUCAUUUUUUUUAUCAGUCCAUAUGGACCGCUGAGCUGCACCAUCAGGAGUUAACACAAGCCUCAUAAUAACAGAGCUGUUAACAAGAGAAUAAAUAUAAUAUAUCUCCUUUUCAUUAGAAACAUAUUCAUAACUAUAAACUGGGUUAAUUGUUAAUUGAGGAAUUCCACUGAAUCGAAUACCAUUCCAUGGUCCAGGGCGAAAUGCUACAGCUAAACCAUUCCUCAAAAGUAGUUGUGGAAAUCCACUAGGAUCAAUCCAAUAAGUAAAAUUACCUUUAGAAGGGUCAUCAGCACUCUUCCACGAUGACAGGUACCGAUCCAGGCCUGCUACUCUGUUCCUUCCAAGCUUCAUGCCUGGUAGAAGAGUAUCGCAUGGGUAAUCAAAACUCUGCCAUAGGAAGUUUUCUGGAUCCCUAUCAUUGCCAUUUCUCAUAACAAGAUUUCCAGACUCCAAAAGCU
rnacentral:lncRNA from 1 species